rnacentral:rRNA from 1 species
UUGUCCUGUGUUGCCAGCAUGCCCUUCGGGGUGAUGGGGACUCACAGGAGACCGCCGGGGUCAACUCGGGAGGAAGGUGGGGCGACGUCAAGUCAUCAUGCCCCUUAUGUCUUGGCUGCACACGUGCUACAAUGGCCGGUACAAAGAGCUGCGAUGCCGCGAGGCGGAGCGAAUCUCAAAAAGCCGGUCUCAGUUCGGAUUGGGGUCUGCAACUCGACCCCAUGAAGUCGGAGUUGCUAGUAAUCGCAGAUCAGCAUUGCUGCGGUGAAUACGUUCCCGGGCCUUGUACACACCGCCCGUCACGUCACGAAAGUCGGUAACACCCGAAGCCGGUGGCCCAACCCCUCGGGGAGGGAGCUGUCGAAGGUGGGACCAGCGAUUGGGACGAAGUCGUAACAAGGUAGCCGUACCGGAAGGUGCGGCUGGAUCACCUCCUU